rnacentral:rRNA from 1 species
GCGAGUCCAGAGUGGUCAUGCACUCGGCGCACGGCUCAGUAACACGCGGAGAACCUGCCCUAAGGUGGGGGAUAACCUCGGGAAACUGAGGAUAAUACCCCAUAGUUCAUCGGCGCUGGAACGCCCGAUGGACGAAAGCUCCGGCGCCUUAGGAUGGCUCUGCGGCCUAUCAGGUUGUAGCGAGUGUAACGUACUCGCUAGCCGACAACGGGUACGGGCGUUGAGAGACGUCGCCCGGAGAUGAACUCUGAGACACGAGUUCAGGCCCUACGGGGCGCAGCAGGCGCGAAAACUCUGCAAUGCCGGCAACGGCGACAGGGGAACACCAAGUGCUUGCACUAUGUGCAAGCUGUUUUCAUGCCUAAAAAGCAUGGAGAGUAAGGGCUGGGUAAGACGGGUGCCAGCCGCCGCGGUAAUACCCGCAGCCCGAGUGGUGCUCGUUAUUAUUGGGCCUAAAGCGUCCGUAACCGGCUUCGUAAAUGCCUAGGGAAAUCGUCGUGCUCAACACGACGAAGGCCUGGGUAGACUGCGAGGCUCGAGACCGGGAGAGGCCAGAGGUACUCCAGGGGUAGAGGUGAAAUU